GGUUCAGUGGUGUAGUUGGUUAUCACGUCUGUCUCACAUAUGCGUGCACAGGAGGUCUCCAGUUCGAGCCUGGACUGAACCA
rnacentral:tRNA from 1 species